ACCUUUGAGUUACACAAUUUAUCAGAAAGGAAAAUAUGGUUUCCUUUGUGUGGGUUAAAAAUCAUAAAGUGAGGCAUUUUCCCUAUAUUUCCAGCAGAAGCAAACUGGUCAGUGCAAAAGUUCACUAAAUGGAUUGUUUAGUCCUUCAUAUGAACAGGAUUAUUACAACUUGACCAGCUUGGAUUUAACAUUGUUCUUAGGUUAAUAUUAACUAGGAAACCAUGAUAAAAACAUAGACUUUUUGAAAACUAUUGGCAGUGUUUGGCCUGCCUUUUAAUUAGAGAUUUCUACUACUCUUCCCCCUCCAUUCAUUUCCAUUUCACACAUUCAUACUAUUAUAAACAUAAAAUUACAUUAUUACAAACAGAGCAUUCUUACAUUACAAAAUUACAUUAUUACAAACAUUAUUACAAACAGAGCACCUCCUCUUAUUUAUGCAUGAUGCCUAACUAUCAGUUUUAUGUUAUUUAAUCUUUGAAAUAUUUUAUAAGUAUUAUUAUUCUCAGUGUGCUGAUGUAGAUAUUGAGGCUUUGGUGAGUAAAAUUAUUUGUUCAAGUUUGCACAGCUAAUAAGUGACAGAACUUGGAUUCAUACCUAAGGUGGAUCAACUCCAAUACUUUUAAAUAUCACUUUGCGCUACAAUGUACUGAUAUAUCUCUAUCUAUCAACUUAUUUAAUUAUCCUAUUGAAGAUAGUUUAUAUAAAAUAUUAAUAUGUUACGUGCAUAUAAUACAGUAAUUCACAAUUUUUAAAGGUUAUAUGCAUUUUACCCUUUGGGUCUUUUUAGGGCUGUACCUGCAGCAUAUGGAGAUUCUCAGGCUAGGGGUCAAAACAGAGCUACAGCUGCUGGCCUAUGUCACAGCCACAACAAUACCAGAUCUAAGCUGCAUCUGCAAUGUACAUCACAGUUCACGGCAAUGCUGGAUCCUUAACCCCUAACCCCCUGGGCAAGGCCAGGGAUCAAAUACGAAUCCUCAUGGGUGAUGAGCCACCAUGGGAACUCCUAUAUUCUAUUUAUAAUUAGUAUAAAAUGCUGGCUAAAUUCCCUGUGAUGUGUAAUAUAUCCUUGUAGUUUGUUUUAUACAUAAUAAUUUGGAUGUCUUAAUCUCCUACUUCUAUACCCACCUUCCUACCUCCCUCUCCCUACUGGUAACCAUGAGUUUGUUCUCUCUAUGAGUUUCUUUAUUGUUAUGUUUACUAAUUUGUUUUAUUUUUUAGAUUCCACACAUAAGUGGUAUACAGUAGUUAGUUGUCUUUUGUACAUGACUUAUUUCACUUAGCAUAAUACUCCCAAGUUCAUACGUGUUGUUGUAAAUAGCAAAAUUUCAUUCUACUUAAUAGCUGAGUAGUAUUCCAUCAUAUGUAUGUAUAUACAUUAUAUACACAUGUAUGUAUGCACAUUAUAUACAUAUAUAUGUAUGUGUAUGUAUAUGUGUGUGUGUGUAUUCAUUAAUCUGUUGAUCUUCUUUAUCCAUUUAUCUGUUUAUGGACAUUUAAGUUGCUUCCAUGUCUUGGCAAUUGUAAUUAUACUGCUAUGAACAUAUAGAUGUGUAUAUCUUUUCAAAUUGGUGUUUUUGUUUAUUUUGGGUAUAUACACAGGAGAGGAACUGCUGGGCCAUAGGAUAGUUCUAUUUUUAGUCUUUUGAGAAACCUCCAUCCUGUUUCCCUCAGUGGUUGCAGCAAUUUACAUUCCCACCAACAGUGUACAGGUGUUCUUUCCUCCAAAUCUUCACCAAUAUUUUUUAUUUGUAUUGUUUUUAAAUAUUUUUCAACAUUUCUUUUUCUUUUUCUUUUUUUAUUUUUUGUCUUCUUGUCUUUUUGUCUUUUUAGGGCCUCACUUGUGGCAUAUGGAGGUUCCCAGGCUAGGGGUCUAAUCAGCCACCAGCCUAGGCCACAGCCACAGCCAUGCCAGAUCCCAGCCACAUCUGCAAACUACACCACAGCUCAUGGUAACGCCAGAUCCUUAACCCGCUGAUCAAGGCCAGGGGUUGAACCCGCAACUUCAUCGUUCCUAGUUGGAUUCAUUUCUACUGCACCACUAUGGGAACUCCCUUUAUCUGUAUUCCUUGAUGAUAGCCAUUCUGACAAUUGUGAAGCGAUAUCUCAUUGUGGUUUUUGUUUCUCUUUUUUGUUUUUUAGGCCACACCCAUGGCAUAUGGAAGUUCCCAGGCUAGGCGUUGAAUCAGAGCUGCAGCUGCCCAACAUAUGCCACAGUCACAGGAACACCAGAUCUGAGCCAUGUCUGCAACUUACACCUCAUCUCACAGCAAUGCCAGAUCCUUUAAUCCAUGAGCAAGGCCAGGGAUAGAAACUGCAUCCUCAUGGAUAAUAGUCGGAUUCAUUACCACUGAGCCAAAAUGGGAAUUCCUCAUUGUGGUUUUGAUAUUCGUUUCCCUGAUGAUUAGUGAUAUUGAAUAUCUUUCAUGUGCCUGUUAGCCAUCUUCAUAUUCUUUUGGAAAAAUGUCUACUCAGGUCUUCUUUUACUUUUUCUUUUGUUUUGGCUGCACCCAUGACAAUCAGAAGUUCUUGGGCCAGGGAUUGAACCCAUGUCACAGCAGUAACCUGAGCCACAACAGUGAUAUUUCCAAGUUCUUAACCUACUGAGCCAUGAGGGGACUCCAGUUUCCCAUCCAUUUUCUUUUUUUUUUUUUUCUGUAUUUUUAGGGCUAUACCCACGGAAUAUGGAGGUUCCCAGGCUAGGGGUCAAAUCAGAGCUAUGGCCACUGGCCUACACCACAGCCACAGCAACACAAGAUAAGAGCUGCAUCUGUGACCUACAGCACAGCUCACAGCAAUGCCAUAUCCUUAACCCACUGAGAGAGCCCAGGAAUCGAACCUGCAUCCACAUGAAUGCUAGUCAGAUUUGUUUCUACUGAACAUGACGAGGACUCUGAGUUUUCUGUCCAUUUUUAAAUUGGGUUGUUGAGGGAGUUCCCAUCAUGGCUCAGUGGAAAUGAAUCUGACAAGAAUCCAUGAGGAUACAGGUGAUCUGGCAUUGCUGUGAGCUGUGGUAUAGGUUGCAGAUGCAGCUCAGAUCCCAUGUUUCUGUGGCUGUGGUAUAGGCCAGUAGCUAUAGCUCCAAUUUCACCUCUAUCCUGGGAAAUUCCAUAUGCUGCCGGUGCAGCCCUAAAAAUAAAUAAAUAAACAAAUUGGGUUGUUGACUUGUGUGAGCAUUUAGCUAUUUUGAAUAUUGACCACUUAUACGACAUAUCAUUCACUGCAAUUAAUUUUAAAUAAACUGCUAUUUAAAGAGAGAUGUUCUCUGAGGUUGGUGGUUUCUAACUUUUACAGACUUUCUGACAGCCACAAUCAAUGGGAUAUUUUAAAGUGUUUAUUGAUAUAUCAUAUACAUACAUUAUAUUUCACCUUGUUCAUGUGUAUAUUUCUAUGAAUUCUGACUGAGCUGUGUAAAUACCAUUAGCAUCAAAACACAAACCAUGUCCUUCACCCAUAAAAGUUUCAUUGUUUUUUGGGGGAACCCACACCUACGGAGUGAAAUUCCUGGGUCAGGGACUAAACCUGAGCCACAAUAAUGAUAAUGUCAAAUCCUUCACUGCUAGGCCACCAGGGAGAUCCUGUUUUUUUUUUGUUUGUUUGUUUGUUUGUUGUCUUUUUUUUUUCAAAUAAACUUUUUACUGGAGUUCCUGCUGUGGUGCAGGGCACUGAGAAUCUAACUGCAACAGCUUGAGUUGCUGCAGAAGAGCAGGUUCAAUCCCCAUUUCCCUUACUGUUAUACCUUAUGUUAGUAUGGAACAGUUGUCAUCUUCUCUUCCAGCAUCCAUUCCAGGACAUCACAUUGUAAUUACUCAUCAUAUCUCCUUAGGCUCCUAGACUGUGACAGUUUCUUAGAUGUUUCUUUCCUUGGUUCUGAUGACCUUGACAAUUUUGAAACUACUGGUCAGAUGUUUUGUUGACUGUCCCUCAACUGGGAUUUGUCUGAUGAUUUUCUCAUGUUUAGAUUGGUGUCAUGAGUUUUUAGGAAAAAAUAUAGAGAGAUAAAGUACCAUUCUCAUAUCAUGUCAAGAGUGCAUGCUAUCAACAUGACUUUUAUCAUUGUUGACUUUAAUCACUUAGGUGACAUACUGUUUGUCAGGUUUCUCUGCUGUAAAGAUAUUCUUUCCUCCACUUUCCAUAGUGUGUUCUUUAGAAGAAGAUCACUGUGUAAAGCUUAAGGGAUAGGAAGCAAUACUUCACAUUUCUUGGGGUGGCAGUGGGAGAAUAUAGAUAAAACACUUGAGAUUCUUCUGUACGGGAUAUCUCUUUACUCCCCUCCAAUGGUUAAUUUAUUUAAUUAUUGAUUUAUAUGAUUCAAAGAUAUUUAUUGUAUAGUUUAGGAUAUAAUCUAAUACUGUGCUUUAAAUUUUGUUACUCAUUGUUGUAGCACAGCUUUUUCUGCUGACUCCUGUGUCCCUCUGACAUAUGCCCAUCAUUGAUUUGGUUUGGUUUGGUUUGGUUUUUAGCACCAUUUUUGCUCUCUGUCACUAUGAGCUGUUCCAGGAUAAUAGUAUAUAGUCCCCAUUUAAGCCCUGGAAUCAACCAUUUCUUCAAGGAAUUCUCAUUAGUUUUAUUAGAGAAACCAAGAUCUGGGUGGAAUGGGCUUAUUGUUCUUGAGAUGUUGUUUCAAGGUUUCUUGCAGAUCAUUGAGAAGGAAAUAUCUACAUAUACUAAAUCAAGUAUUUACACAUAUCUGUAGAUAAUUCUGUAUAUUUUAUGCUAAACAUGAGUUCAUACCUAUAUAUUUAAUUGUAAGUUAUUACAGCGUGGUUCAUUCUCACCUCCAUGGCUUGCCUAGAAUCCCCAACACAACAGCAAGAAACUGGCUCCCACUAUCUGCCAUCCCUUUACUUAGCUGUUCAAUUUUCAGUUUACAUAUAUAGGGUUUUCUGAAUUGUUAACCUGUACCCGGUGGGAACCAAUUUCACUAACUAGAAUAGAGUACUUAUUUGCAUUUCAUGUGCCUUUGGUCUUAUACCCUCUGCUCAUUUCCAAAGUUAAUUGUGCUGAUCUUUUACAAGAAAAUAUUUCAACUAGGAUAACAAAAUGGUUUUAUUUAAUGUACAACUACAUUAUGAAGAGUUUAAAAACCACCAAAUUACUUGUAAUCAUGAGUAUAUAGUCAUGAAAUUGUUUUAGAGAAACAGCUUUCUUUGAAUAUUCUAAUAUUAGAGUAGCUAUUUUCAAAUUCUUAGCUUAUUUUAUAUUUUUAGUUUCCUGGUUUCUUUUUAGACAAUGCAUGGUUAAAAGUAGAAUUAUAUGUUCAAGUGGUUGAUAGUAAGAGGAAGUUUAAAAUAUUUCUUAUAGUCUUUCCUUAUUAUUUAUCUUCUCAUGGACUUAAAGUAUAUAUCUUUGAGCAUUUAAAGGGGACUCCAAAUAUCAACUGGAAACUGACACAAAAAAUAUGACUUUAAAAAAUUCAUCUUUAAUAGAAAUUAAAUAAAUAUCUACAGUUUUAGUAAUAAGAUGGCAUUCUCCAGAAAAUAUUAAGCUUCAUGAUAUUUUAUCACCUGAAUUAGGAAAUCCCAACAAAUUCAGAGAUAUCUUCUACCAGAGGAGUCUGAUAAGAUGCUAUUACCCACUUGAACUGUAAAGAGAAAUUUCAUCUCAUAAUAUUCUUUCUGAAAUUCUCUUUUGGAAGCCCAAGGGAUUGUUUUUCACAUAGUUCAGAAACAAUGUAAAUUAAAAUCGAAAAAAUUUAAUGAUUAGACUGCUUUAUUUUCUACAAAAGUCAGGCUGGAUGUCAGGAUUGGACUCUAGUUUUAUAAAAUCAAUUAUAUAUACAUGCUGGAAUGGUAUCUGAGAUUAAGGCAAAUAGAAUGAGCAGGGCAUCAAGGAUGCCACAUUCAAAAAGAGCAAACCUUUCGCUGAAUAUCGGAUAUAAAACAUUCAGGAGCCUACACUGAGGAAAUCAUCUUUUGAUUAAAAAUUAAUGAUUUUUAUUUAUAAAAUGACUAGCUUUGAGGUUUUAUAUAUUCAUACCUUCAAGGGUUUCUCAGAUAUUUCAAGUAUAUUCAAGUUUUUACAAUGAAGAUUCAUUUUAAAUUAAAGAUGUAUUCCUUCCAGAAACAUUUUAAAGUAGUUUGUAGUACGAAGUGGGGCUCCAAAGGGAAACAAUUGCCUUGAGAACUCUAUCAGGUGGGCCUUCUGUGUCUCAACAGGAUUCAAAGGAAAUGGAUGAGGGAAACUGCAAUGAUUAGAACUGCCUGUGACCUUCUCAGGAUACAAACAUUGAUAUAUGUGGAAAAGUUCUAGUUCCAUAAAAGCAUGAUUUGAUGCAUGGUUAAAAACAUAAAGGUGAGUAUGGAUUUGCUUUUGAGUCAAACCACAAUGGCCACAGUGCCUGCCUUUCUCUUUUUCAGCCAAACAAGCAUUCUGUUGAAGGCUUUACUCUUUGCUUCCACAUAAUUCCUUGAUUUGAAUAUCCUAGACUAGACUUUGGUCAUGCAAAUCUAAAUCCAUCAUGGACAGAGU
rnacentral:lncRNA from 1 species